rnacentral:rRNA from 1 species
GACGAACGCUGGCGGCGCGCCUAACACAUGCAAGUCGAACGGGAUCUAUUGGAGCUUGCUCUGGCAGAUCUAGUGGCGGACGGGUGAGUAACACGUGAGCAACCUGCCCUUAAGAGGGGGAUAACGUCUGGAAACGGACGCUAAUACCGCAUAACAUACCGAAGUGGCAUCGUUUUGGUAUCAAAGGAGAAAUCCGCUUAAGGAUGGGCUCGCGCCCGAUUAGAUAGUUGGCGGGGUAACGGCCCACCAAGUCGACGAUCGGUAGCCGGACUGAGAGGUUGAUCGGCCACAUUGGGACUGAGACACAGCCCAGACUCCUACGGGAGGCAGCAGUGGGGAAUAUUGCACAAUGGGGGAAACCCUGAUGCAGCGACGCCGCGUGAGUGAAGACGGUCUUCGGAUUGUAAAGCUCUGUUGCAGAGGACGAUAAUGACGGUACUCUGUGAGGAAGCCACGGCUAACUACGUGCCAGCAGCCGCCGCCGUAAGAC